UACGUAGGUGGCAAGCGUUGUCCGGAUUUAUUGGGUUUAAAGGGUGCGUAGGCGGUCUAUUAAGUCAGUGGUGAAAUAUCGCAGCUUAACUGUGAGGGUGCCAUUGAUACUGAUGGACUUGAGUCAAGUCGAGGUAGGCGGAAUUGACGGUGUAGCGGUGAAAUGCUUAGAUAUCGUCAAGAACACCAAUAGUGAAGACAGCUUACUAGGCUUAAACUGACGCUGAGGCACGAAAGUGUGGGGAUCAAACAGG
rnacentral:rRNA from 1 species